GGCCUAAUGGCCCAAUGGCAAGGCGCUUGACUACGAUUUAUUCGAUAUCAAGAGAUUCCAGGUUGUAAGUAGUACCACUCAGAACAACAUCUGUUCGAACAUUCACUAACCCACAACAGCGACCCCUGGUUAGGUCA
rnacentral:tRNA from 1 species